UACACAGAACAUCCCCACACAAUUUCAGAAAGCUUCACCUCACAGUAACACCUUACCUCUUCAGAAGGCUUCAUCCCAAACACAGUAACUAACACCCCACCUCUACAGAAGGCUUCAGGCAUCUCCCCACACAGAGUAACACCAUUCCACUUCAGAAGGCUAGUCCACUGCUUAUUGUGUUGCUGCAGCAAUGGGUGAGAGAACAUGGGCACACAACUGGGCUUGUCUGCUGCAGGUUUCCUUCAGCUAAUUCAGGUUUUGCAAGUCAUGAUGUGAGUUUUUCUCCCUGAAAGAAUAAAAUUGAAAAAGUCA